AGAGUUUGAUCAUGGCUCAGGACGAACGCUGGCGGCGUGCUUAACACAUGCAAGUCGAGCGGAAAGGCCAUUUCGGUGGUACUCGAGCGGCGAACGGGUGAGUAACACGUGAGUAAUCUGCCCCUGGCUUUGGGAUAGCCACCGGAAACGGUGAUUAAUACCGGAUAUGACCACUCCUGGCAUCAGGUGGUGGUGGAAAGUUUUUCGGCCAGGGAUGUGCUCGCGGCCUAUCAGCUUGAUGGUGAGGUAAUGGCUCACCAUGGCUUCGACGGGUAGCCGGCCUGAGAGGGUGACCGGUCACACUGGGACUGAGACACGGCCCAGACUCCUACGGGAGGCAGCAGUGGGGAAUAUUGGACAAUGGGCGGAAGCCUGAUCCAGCAACGCCGCGUGAGGGAUGACGGCCUUCGGGUUGUAAACCUCUUUCAGUACCGACGAAGCGAUCCUUUUGGGGAGUGACGGUAGGUACAGAAGAAGCACCGGCCAACUACGUGCCAGCAGCCGCGGUAAUACGUAGGGUGCGAGCGUUGUCCGGAAUUAUUGGGCGUAAAGGGCUCGUAGGCGGUUUGUCGCGUCGGGAGUGAAAACGCCGUGCUUAACACGGCGCUUGCUCUCGAUACGGGCAGACUAGAGGUAUUCAGGGGAGAAC
rnacentral:rRNA from 1 species